rnacentral:rRNA from 1 species
ACUGCUAUCGGAUUGAUACUAAGCCAUGCGAGUCAUUGUAGUAAUACAAGGCAGACGGCUCAGUAACGCGUAGUCAACCUACCCUAUGGACGGGAAUAACCUCGGGAAACUGAGAAUAAUGCCCGAUAGAACAUUAUGCCUGGAAUGGUUUAUGUUCCAAAUGAUUUAUCGCCGUAGGAUGGGACUGCGUCCUAUCAGUUUGUUGGUGAGGUAAUGGCCCACCAAGACUAUUACAGGUACAGGCUCUGAGAGGUGUGGCCCGGAGAUGGGUACUGAGACACGGACCCAGGCCCUAUGGGGCGCAGCAGGCGAGGAAACUUUGCAAUGUGCGAAAGCACGACAAGGUUAAUCCGAGUGGUUUCUGCUAAAGGAACCUUUUGUCGGUCCUAGAAACACCGAUGAAUAAGGGGUGGGCAAGUUCUGGUGUCAGCCGCCGCGGUAAAACCAGCACCUCAAGUUGUCAGGAUGAUUAUUGGGCCUAAAGCAUCCGUAGCCGGCUCUGUUAGUUUUCGGUUAAAUCUAUACGCUCAACGUAUAGGCUGCCGGGAAUACUGCAGAGCUAGGGAGUGGGAGAGGUAGACGGUACUCGGUAGGAAGGGGUAAAAUCCUUUGAUCUAUUGAUGACCACCUGUGGCGAAGGCGGUCUACCAGAACACGUCCGACGGUGAGGGAUGAAAGCUGGGGGAGCAAACCGGAUUAGAUACCCGGGUAGUCCCAGCUGUAAACUAUGCAAACUCAGUGAUGCAUUGGCUUGUGGCCAAUGCAGUGCUGCAGGGAAGCCGUUAAGUUUGCCGCCUGGGAAGUACGUACGCAAGUAUGAAACUUAAAGGAAUUGGCGGGGGAGCACCACAAGGGGUGAAG